rnacentral:rRNA from 1 species
ACACGUAGGGGGCGAGCGUUGUUCGGAAUCAUUGGGCGUAAAGGGCGUGCAGGCGGUCCUGCAAGUCCGGCGUGAAAGCCCCCGGCACAACCGGGGGGAUGCGCUGGAAACUGCCGGGCUUGAGUACAGGAGGGGGUGCCGGAAUUCCCGGUGUAGGGGUGAAAUCUGUAGAUAUCUGGAAGAACACCAUUGGCGAAGGCAGGCAUCUGGUCAUGUACUGACGCUGAGACGCGAAGGUGCGGGGAGCAAACAGGUUUAGAUACCCUGGUAGUCCGCACAGUAAACGAUGUGCACCAGGUGGCGGGGGGUCGACCCUCGGUACCGUAGCUAACGCAUUAAGUGCACCGCCUGGGGAGUAUGCUCGCAAGGGUGAAACUCAAAGGAAUUGACGGGG